rnacentral:rRNA from 1 species
GAUAGGUUAAGUUAUUAAGGGCGCACGGCGAAUGCCUUGGCACUAGGAGCCGAAGAAGGACGGCACUAACACCGAUAUGCUUCGGGGAGCUGUAAGUGAGCUUUGAUCCGGAGAUUUCCGAAUGGGGGAACCCACUACGUUUAAUCGCGUAGUAUCUUGACGUGAAUACAUAGCGUCUUGAAGGCAGACCCAGGGAACUGAAACAUCUAAGUACCUGGAGGAAGAGAAAGAAAAAUCGAUUCCCUGAGUAGCGGCGAGCGAAACGGGAAGAGCCCAAACCAAGAGGCUUGCCUCUUGGGGUUGUAGGACACUCAAUACGGAGUUACAAAAGAGCGAGUUAGAUGAAGCGACUUGGAAAGGUCCGCCAGAGCAGGUAAAAGCCCUGUAGUCGAAAGUUCGUUCUCUCCUGAGUGGAUCCUGAGUACGGCGGAACACGUGAAAUUCCGUCGGAAUCCGGGAGGACCAUCUCCCAAGGCUAAAUACUACCUAGUGACCGAUAGUGAACCAGUACCGUGAGGGAAAGGUGAAAAGCACCCCGGAAGGGGAGUGAAAGAGAUCCUGAAACCGUGUGCCUACAAGUAGUUAGAGCCCGUUAAUGGGUGAUAGCGUGCCUUUUGUAGAAUGAACCGGCGAGUUACGAUUACGUGCGAGGUUAAGCUUUAGAAGGCG